rnacentral:tmRNA from 1 species
GGGGAUGAAUGGUGUCGACGGAGGUGGAUGAGAUCAAACUGCAAGCCGAGAGGCGCCGAACUCGAUAAAUCAGCGCAACCUAUAAGUGCAAAACGCACUAACUUUGCGGCUCUACCGCUAGCGGCCUAAUCCCCGCAAGUGUUCGAGCCCACCCCCUCUAAGGGGACGCAUCCCAUAACCACCCAUGGCAGGCUCAUGGAGAUGCGCAAAAAAUGCCGUGGUGCAGCACUGAGAGCCACGAUCCGUGCUAAAGACGAGCUCUAGGGCUUGAGUGGAUAAUAUUCGUGCAUCCUCGUCGUUCUGGAGCACGCAUAUGAUAAAAAACGAGCGACUAAGCUUGUAGAGGUUUGAUUGCAGAAUCCUUCGGACGCGGGUUCGAUUCCCGCCAUCUCCACCU